AGAGAUCAUGUCAGUGAACUGCCACAUUUUUGAUAUAUAUUAUGUAUGUAUGUGUGUGUGUGUGUGUGUGUGUAUAUAUAUACACACACACAUACACACUACAUGUAUGCAACAUAUAUAC
ensembl:miRNA Mir466i microRNA 466i